UUCCCAUACCGAACACGGAAGUUAAGCUCUUCAGCGCCGAUGGUAGUUGGGGGUCUCCCCCUGUGAGAGUAGGACGCCGCCAAGC
rnacentral:rRNA from 1 species